rnacentral:rRNA from 1 species
UUGAAGGUUGGGUAACACUAACUGGAGGACCGAACCGACUAAUGUUGAAAAAUUAGCGGAUGACCUGUGGCUGGGGGUGAAAGGCCAAUCAAACCGGGAGAUAGCUGGUUCUCCCCGAAAGCUAUUUAGGUAGCGCCUCGUGAAUUCAUCUCCGGGGGUAGAGCACUGUUUCGGCUAGGGGGCCAUCCCGGCUUACCAACCCGAUGCAAACUGCGAAUACCGGAGAAUGUUAUCACGGGAGACACACGGCGGGUGCUAACGUCCGUCGUGAAGAGGGAAACAACCCAGACCGCCAGCUAAGGUCCCAAAGUCAUGGUUAAGUGGGAAACGAUGUGGGAAGGCCCAGACAGCCAGGAUGUUGGCUUAGAAGCAGCCAUCAUUUAAAGAAAGCGUAAUAGCUCACUGGUCGAGUCGGCCUGCGCGGAAGAUGUAACGGGGCUAAACCAUGCACCGAAGCUGCGGCAGCGACAC